rnacentral:lncRNA from 1 species
UAUUAUAUAAACAAGAGUAGGCCAACGAAACCACAACAAUAUAGCAUGCACGAAGAUCGUAUACACAAUAAUCAGUGACUGAUAAAUUACGAGAAAAGAAGAGAAAGGCGCACCUUACACCGUCGCUAGAAUUAGUAUACAGAACAGCUGAGUCGCCUAGCCCUUCGAUGAAGACUAGACUGUUCUUGAAGUGAUUAUUGCCCCACUACGCUGUGAUGGGUAGUCGCAAUAUCGCUCCCAGGAUAAAACAGCACAGACCGAACCGCUCACAGACACGAGUACGAUCAACAGCGAUCAACACCUCAGUUCGCCCGAGAACAGUAUGUAUAUAUAUCGGAGGAGAGGGUGAGAGAGUAAGAGAGAAGAAUGAGAAUGGUGUUUUUCCCGUGUUCCAACUCAAGUGUCGAGGCUCACUAUUUAUAGUGAGGCCAAGGCACCAACACACCGUCCAGAUUCAUUUGUCCAGGUUCAAUGAAUCUGUAUCUGUCAGACAUUCUGACCAGAUUCAUUUGUCCAGGUUCAAUGAAUCUGUAUCUGUCAGACAUUCUGACCAGAUUCAUUUGUCCAGGUUCAAUGAAUCUGUAUCUGUCAGACAUACUGACCAGAUUCAUUUGUCCAGGUUCAAUGAAUCUGUAUCUGUCAGAUAUACUGACCAGAUUCAUUUGUCCAGAUUCAAUGAAUCUGUAUCUGUCAGAUAUACUGACCAGAUUCAUUUGUCCAGAUUAAAUGAAUCACAUUCUCAUUUCAAGCUCUUUCAAGCCACUGUAUUCAACUCUAUUUCUCAAUGGAUUUCACUAAGAAAAUGUCCCGGAAAUUACAUCAAGAACAUAUUAAAAAAUAUGCUUUAAACUUUCCAUUUUCUAACAAUCCCCCACAAAUCCAUAUAGAUAUGCAUAUUAGUCCUCAUCAUGACUUGUUUUUCAGAGUAGGUACCCUUCCGGGUUUGAACCCUCCUAAGUCCCCUACUUCGAUGGCUACCGGAUAUAGAUGGAUUGUUUCACCUUGAAUCUCUAUCCGUUGGGUGUAACCACACUCCAUAGACGACGACAAGUCAAAGGCUAUGGUGCCGAUCUACGGCUUUGAGACAUUAAUGGUCGUGUCUCGAUCCUGUUCGUCGAAUGUUUCAAGGAAUAACCCUUUCCUCUAAUUGCGACCUCACAAUUACAUUCGCUUAGCUGGGCAUCUCCAGAGAUGUACUGCAACCAUCUCGUCAAAUGACUUGACCCCAUUCAGAGUUCUAAAAACUCUUGCUAUACUUGCAGUGUCAGUACCUUUUAGGUUUGCAGGGGAUAGACUCAGAUGCAUAAGUAUCUACAUUGUAGUUAAAGGUACUACCGAUCCACCCUUACAGCUUGUUUACCACAUUGAAUACACUUUGAGGGAUCUCCUCUCAGAUGUAUUGGGUUCCCGCUGUAGAUGAAUCAUGAUGGGUUAUCAGUCCCAUCCCCAACCUUGACUUAAGGACAACAGCAUGCUCAAGCCCUUUAGUCAGUGGAUCAGCUAUGUUAUCUUGAGUUCCAAUGAACUCAAUAGCAAUAGUCCGAUCAGACACCAAACCCCUUAUAGACUUAAGUCUAAAGAUCAUCACUAGAAGAACUUUGAGGUAUACCAGUCUUCAUAGGGAACACAUCCUCAAAGAAUGUAGCAUCACGAAACUCAACUAUCGUGUUUGCCACUAUACCAUCUAUGUCAGAUUUUAAUACUAAAAAUCUCAUAGCUGUAGUGGUUUCGAGAUAGCCCAGAAAGAUACAAUCAACAGUUUUCGGCCCUAGUUUCUUUCUCUUCUGUUCAGGGACAAGUACCUUAGCAAGGCACCCCCACACACGAAGAUACUUUAGACUAGUUUUCCUGCCUUUCCAUAAUUCGUAAGGUGUCUUGUCCAUAUGUUUCAGAGGGACUCUAUUCAGAAUAUGGCAAGCCGUAUUCAGAGCCUCCCCCCACAUGUACUUGGGCAACCCCGAAUUAAUCAACAUACUGUUAAUCAUAUCUUUAAAAGUUCUGUUCUUUCGUUCUGCCACCCCAUUAGACUCAGGUGUAUAUGGUGGAGUCACCUCAUGAAUUAUACCAUUGCUCUUGCAAAAUUCAUUAAAGGUGUUUCCCGUAUAUUCACCACCUCUAUCAGAUCUCAAACGUUUAAGUACUUUACCAGUUUGUGUUUCAACUUCAGUUUUAAAUCUAAUGAAUUUUUCAAGUGCUUCAUCUUUAUGUUUAAGCAAAUAAACAUAACAAUAUCUACUACAAUCAUCUAUAAAGGUAAUGAAAUAUCUACAGUGUUCCUUAGUCAACACACCACCAAAUUCACAUAUGUCCGAGUGCACUAAAUCUAACAAGUCAGAAUCCCUAACCACACUAUGAAAAGGUUUCCUUGUUAGUUUAGCUGUCACACAUACUUGACAUUUAGUUUUCUUAUCAAUGGCAUGCUUUGGAAUCAACUCUAAGUUCAUCAUAUUCUUUAGAGCACCAAAAUUUAAAUGACCAAGCCUAGAGUGCCACAAAUCGGAUGAUUCAAUAUUAUUAACAGAAGGAGAAGCAAUAUCAUUAAUAAAACCGCCUAAAACAGGCUCCACAUUUAUUAAAAACAAGCCGUCUGACAAGUAGCCCUUGCCAAAAAACACACCAGUCUGAGUAAUAACUACUUUAUUACACUUUAAAGAAAGUUCAAAGCCAUUUUUAACUAAACAACUUCCACUAAUAAUAUUUCUACGAAUCUCGGGAACAUGAUGCACUCUAGUAAGGGAUAGAACACGCCCUGAAGCAAACUUCAGGUCCACGUUUCCUAUUCCACGAACUUGAGCCGCACUAGCAUUCCCCAUCGUCACUGUCAUCCCAUGAGCCUGUUGAUAAGAUACAAACAGAGUAAUAUCAGCACAAAUGUGCACAUUAGCUCCCGUAUCAAUCAACCACUCAUUAGACAGAUAAGUGGAAAAUAGUUCAGGGUUGUACUUAACAUACCCGUCAUUGGUUUCAGAAGCAACAGCCUCACCAACAACCAUGUUAAGCACAGGCCCAUCAGUGGUUCCAAGCACAGUAUUUGCUUGUGCUACCACCUCAGCUUUCUUUGCUUUCUUUACAGGACAGUCCUUACUCCAAUGACCAACCUGUCCACAAGACCAACAUGGUUUGUUGGCCUUUGAUUUCUUAGCCUUGCCCUUGUCAGUUUUGGGCUUAGUGUUCACCUUCUUAGCGACAGACUUUCUUUUCUGUCCCACAGUCACUACAUUGACCUUCGAGCUACCAGAUUCAGUUGGCAUCACAUGUCCCUGUUUGGACUUGUGCUGCUCCUGCACAGAGAUGUCCAGCAUCAGGUUAGUCCAAGUGAUCUCUCCCUUCUGCCUUUUCAGGGAGAGUGCAAACUCUUCCCAAGACUUAGGGAGUUUUUCAAUCACAGACAUAACCAAAAACUUUUCAGGAAGGUCCAUUCCGGACUCCUUCAAAGCAUGCACCAACGUCUCAAACUCAUGCACCUGCUCAGUCAUGGAUUUUGUAUCCACCAGUUUGAAGUCCAGGAACUUAGCCACAGAAUACUUUUCCAACCCUUGCGAGUCAGUAUUGUGUGUCUGAUCAAGUUUCUCCCACAAGGUCUUAGCAGUGUAGGAGUCAGAUGAGUAAACAUCGAACAGAGUGUUCGUUAAGGCUGCUAGAAUAGCAGCCCUAGCCACCCCAUCCUUUUCCUCCCACAUAGCAUAGGCCUUAAGGGUUUCAGCCUUUUCCUGUACCACAACUGGUUUCUCAUACUGCAACACCGGCCAUAGACCCUUAACCGUAAGCCACAGUUUCAUCUUUUUCUGCCAACGAGAAAAAGAAACUCCCCCACCGAAUUUAUCAGGAAUACCUGAUAAAUCAAUGGGCUGUGGAAAACGAUACGUAGUCCAAUCGAUGUUACUAGUAACACCAGACCCAGAACCAGCACCACCACCAACAACAGAAUCCGCAAUCUCAUUAACCAUCUUGCUUACUACACAAUAUAACAGAUAAUCACUUCAAGAUUGUUGGGAGUCACAGUGAAAAUCACAGCAACAAUGUAUAGAGCAGUUAUAUUAUAUAAACAAGUGUAGGCCAACGAAACCACAACAAUAUAGCAUGCACGAAGAUCGUAUAUACAAUAAUCAGUGACUGAUAAAUUACAAGAAAAGAAGAGAAAGGCGCACCUUACACCGUCGCUAGAAUUAGUAUACAGAACAGCUGAGUCGCCUAGCCCUUCGAUGAAGACUAGACUGUUCUUGAAGUGAUUAUUGCCCCACUACGCUGUGAUGGGUAGUCGCAAUAUCGCUCCCAGGAUAAAACAGCACAGACCGAACCGCUCACAGACACGAG